CCUACGGGAGGCAGCAGUGGGGAAUAUUGGACAAUGGGGGGAACCCUGAUCCAGCCAUGCCGCGUGUGUGAAGAAGGCCCUCGGGUUGUAAAGCACUUUCAGUGAGGAAGAACGCCUGGUGGUUAAUACCCAUCAGGAAAGACAUCACUCACAGAAGAAGCACCGGCUAACUCCGUGCCAGCAGCCGCGGUAAUACGGAGGGUGCGAGCGUUAAUCGGAAUUACUGGGCGUAAAGCGCGCGUAGGUGGCUUGAUAAGCCGGUUGUGAAAGCCCCGGGCUCAACCUGGGAACGGCAUCCGGAACUGUCAAGCUAGAGUGCAGGAGAGGAAGGUAGAAUUCCCGGUGUAGCGGUGAAAUGCGUAGAGAUCGGGAGGAAUACCAGUGGCGAAGGCGGCCUUCUGGACUGACACUGACACUGAGGUGCGAAAGCGUGGGUAGCAAACAGGAUUAAUACCCUUGUAGUC
rnacentral:rRNA from 1 species